AAAUAUUACUUUGAGGGGAGUCUAAUACUAUAAUAAUUAGACAAUUAAGUACAUAAUAUCAACUUUUGUUUGUUGGGAUUUAUGCUGCUCUAUAUUUAGUGAGUGAUGUUGUAACUCUGGUAAAGUAAACAGAUGAGAAACUGGGAAGUUUGAUCGCUUAAUAUCAGAGUUCUGUUCAAAACAGACUUGUUUUAGAAGAUAACUCAUUCAUCAGCUGCUGAAUAUGUGACCAAGCAUGUUUUGAGAAGAAGAAAUUAUCAAAGUUCUGGGGGCUCCUACUACUACCUCAGAGAUUUGAAAAAAGGCUAAUUUUUUAUCUAAUUUUUUGGGAAGGCUGGUAAAGGAAGAAAUAGGUACUUUGUAUUAGAGUAUUACUCAUGCAAUAUUUGGGCUAUUGAUGUAAACUAGUAUAUUACAUACGAUAAGAGACUUCAUACAGAUAUAUAGUUAGGAGGAUAAAAUUAUUUAUUAUAGCAUUGUACUGCACAUCAUUGAAGUUAUUAUUUUGACUCACUUAAGAGACUUCUGAGGUGUACAGUUGAAUUCUCCAUCUCACUCAUCAAAGAAAGGUGUAGCACAUACAACAACCCUGGAUGUAGUGAUGUGAGAACAGAGGCAGAGUUUCCCUACAGCUCCAGUAGUGUAGUAUAAGAAUAAACAUCACAGAGGCUGGGAACAGUACUUAAUGGCACAAGCGACUCCUAGCAACCACAAGUUCUUGAGUUUGAUUCUGAAGAAGAAGAAGAAGAAGAAGAAGAAGAAGAAGAAGAAGAAGAACAAUAAGAAGAAGAAGAACAACAACAACAACAACAACAACAACAAGAACAAGAAGAACAACAAGAAGAAGAACAACAACAACAACAACAACAACAACAAGAACAAGAAGAACAACAAGAAGAAGAACAACAACAAGAACAAGAACAAGAACAAGAAGAAUAAGAAUAAGAACAAGAACAAGAACAAGAACAAGAAAAAGAAGGAGAAAAAGAAGAAUAAGAAGAACAAGAACAAGGAGAAGAGGAAGAGGUAGAGGGAGAGGCAGAGGCAGAGGUAGGAGGAGAAGAGGAAGAGGAGGAGGAGAGGAGGAAAGAAGGAAGGAAAAGAAGAAGGAGAGGGAAAGGGAGAGGGAGAGAGAGGGAGGAGAAGGAGAAGAGGAUGAGGAAGAGGAGGAAGGAAAGGAAGAAGAGAAGGAGGAGGAGGAGGGAAACAUCUGUGUACAUGAGUGCUGACUGCAGGAGUUGCUCUAAACUGGGUUGAGUUAAAGGUCUAAAACACACAGGGGAAGUGGAUCAGGUAGAAGGGAUUGCCUUCAGCCUGUGUGCUGCCUGUAUUUUUCACUUCCCACGAGAAGGAGAAGUUACUAAUUUGACCUAACAGAGUCUCUAGUAUGUUGGGAAAAACAAGUCUCUGGUAUGAUGUCUGUGCAUCCUAGCAGUGAUGUGGCCUAAAAAGUCACACACUUGCCUACCACUCUGUCUGUAGUUCUCAUCAUAAGAUUCAGCUGACAAGCUUCUUUUUCCUCACUAUGGAUGCGUAAGUACAUUCUUCAUUCCACUGGAUUCCUCAGCCACACAUCAAGUCAAAGAUGUAACACUAAGUAACUUGCUUUGGAGGGAAGCGGCCUGAAUCAGAUCAUCGCCAUCAUCUACAUGAUCUACAUAAAGUUUUACAUAAAGUCUUUGACCAUAGCUUAAUAAGAUACCUUGUGAACUUGUUUCCAGUUUAGCUAGUCUUCCUUAUAUGCCUAGUUCUCUUUAGGAACUUAUUUCAGCAAGGCUAACCGGGAAGGCAGUAUUAUUCAGUCAUAAUCGCGUGCCUUCCCAAUUCCAGACACUCCAAAAGCUGUUUAUGUUCUUCAUAAAUUUAUAUUCUUAAGAUCCAGGCUCUAGUGUACCUAUUCUUUAAUAUCAUAUUUUUUCAAUGACUCCCAGAGAAAUAUCUGUGGCUCUAUCCUACACUAGGGACAGUGACCAGAUACCAUGAAUUAAAAGUACAAACCAAAGCAACUCAUUACCAAAGCAGAGGGUUAUUUAAAGUUUGUUAAAAUAAAACAUCAUUCGAAAAAAACCCGUGAUCAUUAUGCAAGUACAAGAUACAUUCAAUUUGUUUAAAUAGACUGUUUUCCAAUCUACUUAGUUUUGAGUAAAAUUGAUUAGGCAAAAAAGGUAGGGAUUCAGAUUUUGUAAUCAGACAGCAAGAGCCAGAAAUGCAGUUACCUAUCUACUAGCCAAGUGAUCCUGGGAAAAUUAGUGAAACUUUCAGUGUGUAUUUUCUGUAUCCAUAGAAAAAAUGAGAAAAAUUUCUGCCUCAGUGGUUUAAGCUGAGGGCAAAUGCAUCGUGAAUGACUUAACAAAGUAUGUCAACAUAGGAAUGUUAUAAUCCCUCCUUCCUUCAUCAUUCAUACUUUCUUCCUUCCUUCCUUUCUUUCUUUCUUUCUUUCUUUCUUUCUUUCUUUCUUUCUUUCUUUUUUCUUUCUUUCAUUAUUCAUUUGUUUAUUUCCUUUAUUUUCAGGAGUAGGUAGGUUCUAUUUUGAGAUACAUGAAUGCAGCACUGAAGGCCAUUUCUGGAAGGUUUAUGCUGUUUACCAGGUCCUUCCUUUUUAUGCACACACAUAGUGCUUUAUUCUACAUCUGGUUCAAAAAAUGAAGCUGAAAGACACUUUCCCAAGUUGCCUUUUUCUGGGGAAACAGACUCACAGUUUGCUUUCAGUUUAAAAAAAUACUUUCUUGCUCUGGACUGUUCAUAUGUUGUUGGGAGCCGCAGCCCCGAGCCCGGUCGCCUUACUUGGCGGACGUGAGGCCUGUAGGAAAGAGCAAAGCCUGAGCUAGAUUACCCCUCCCAUCGAGUGUGCUAAGAUGGCGCUUAUCUCCUGCUUCCUGCUUGGUAAACAACCCGCCCUGUAAGAUCUCCUGCUUCACAACCCGCCCUGUAAGAUCUCCUGCUUCACAACCCGCCCUGUAAGAUAGUCUGCCUAGCAACAACUGAACCCUAUAAAAGUGAAUGCCUCUCCCGCCAAGAAAAGAAGAAGAAGCAGAAGAAGCAGAAGAAGCAGAAGAAGCAGAAGAAGCACAGAAGGAGCCGCGGAGAGCGGACCGGUAGAGGCUUCGGGACAGACUGUAGGGAGAAGCACGCAAGGAGCCGCGGGGAGCGGACCAACAGAGGCUUCGGCCGGGAGGAUUCCCGGGGCAGGCUGUACGGAGAAGGAAAAUAAAAGAAAAGGUUGUCCACUGCCAGACUUUGUUGUGUGUCCUUCCUGCCGGCCGGGAGUGACACCGACAUCUGGUGGCCCGUACGGGGAGCUGAUCACCCCCGAGACGUGGCAGUGGACAACGCUCCAACGCAGAGCUGCAAGACAGGAACCGGGACGAGAACCACUGUGGGUACCGGAGAGACUGACACGGGCAACAAAGCCCUCGACUGAAGAUCAGACCUGCCCUACCGGAGAUCCAUCACAGACCAACCAACAAGAUGAAUAGAAAUAGCGGUAGCCCAAAAUGGACAAAAAGAUCCUCAGGCAUAUGCAUGGCUCGCUCGCCCAGCCUACGACCGAGUCUAGGGGCGGUGAGCUUCCCACACUCCUCCUCUAAAAAAUUAUGACAUAGCUGGGUAGGAGAGUCAAUGACGGGUAAGAGCAUACUCCCCCGGUGCGACUCAACCUAAGCCAGGCCCUACCCCAUCCUGCACGUAAGCCGCUGGACUGUUAGAUGCUGCCCAGGUCUAAAUUUCUCUCCGAGGGGAUUUCUUUACGGAAAGGAAAUGAGUGCAAGCUUGUGUGCAUCCAGGUUCCAUCCAGUUUGUGCCUGGCCCUAGAAAAAGGACGAGGGCCUCAGGGCCUUGGCAGACCAUGGCACGGCCGACCAGGGUCUAAGCCAAGGACCUACGGUGGGCCUACGCAUAGGGCAUAAGCCUCUGCACCCAGUCCAGGAAGGGCUACGAUGCGCACAUUCAUAAAAAAUAAAAAAGGGGGAGAUGUUGGGAGCCGCAGCCCCGAGCCCGGUCGCCUUACUUGGCAGACGUGAGGCCUGUAGGAAAGAGCAAAGCCUGAGCUAGAUUACCCCUCCCAUCGAGUGUGCUAAGAUGGCGCUUAUCUCCUGCUUCCUGCUUGGUAAACAACCCGCCCUGUAAGAUCUCCUGCUUCACAACCCGCCCUGUAAGAUCUCCUGCUUCACAACCCGCCCUGUAAGAUAGUCUGCCUAGCAACAACUGAACCCUAUAAAAGUGAAUGCCUCUCCCACCAAGAAAAGAAGAAGAAGCAGAAGAAGCGGAAGAAGCAGAAGAAGCAGAAGAAGCAGAAGAAGCACAGAAGGAGCCACGGAGAGCGGACCGGUAGAGGCUUCGGGACAGACUGUAGGAAGAAGCACGCAAGGAGCCGCGGAGAGCGGACCGGUAGAGGCUUCGGGACAGACUGUAGGGAGAAGCACGCAAGGAGCCGCGGGGAGCGGACCAACAGAGGCUUCGGCCGGGAGGAUUCCCGGGGCAGGCUGUAUGGAGAAGGAAAAUAAAAGAAAAGGUUGUCCACUGCCA